rnacentral:rRNA from 1 species
AUGACUUCUCGUAGUGAGGUGUUGUCUAUUUAUAAACGUUUUGCUGCCAUGGUUCAUACUCAGUUCUCUUCACCCAUUCGUGUUUUUCGUGCUGACUCCGCUAGCGAGUAUAUCUCUAAGAUGUUGCGUGGUGUUCUUGCUGAGCAAGGAACUCUCUCUCCAUUCUCCUGUCCUGGUGCUCAUGCUCAGAAUGGUGUGGCUGAGCGAAAGCAUCGACAUCUUCUUGAGACGGCUCAUGCAUUGAUGAUUGCUGCCUCUCUCCCGCCUCAUUUUUGGGCUGAGGCCGUCUCCACCUCCACCUAUCUUAUCAAUAUACAACCUUCCGCUGCUCUACAGGGUGGUGUUCCUUUCGAGCGUCUUUUUGAUCGUUCUCCCGAUUAUUCGAUGCUUCGCUUGUUUGGUUGUGUUUGUUAUGUUCUUCUUGCCCCUCGCGAACGCACCAAACUAACCGCUCAGUCUGUUGAGUGUGUCUUCUUAGGCUACAGUGAUGAGCAUAAGGGCUAUCAUUGUUGGGAUCCUAUCGGUCGUCGGAUGCGUAUCUCUCGUGACGUGACUUUUGAUGAGUCUCGUCCCUUCUACCCACGCCCAUCUUCCUUGAUUUUUUCAGUGGAGGAUAUCUCUUUCCUCACUUUUCCUGACUCACCUAUCACCCCCGUCGCGCAUGUGCCUAUUCGUUCCACUCCCUCUGCUUCUCCACCUCUAGUCGAUUUGCAGCCACCAUCUUCUCCGGUCUCCUCGCCUAGCAUGUCACCGGAUUCUACACCUUCAUCUCCGGUGACUUCUUCGUCGCCACCCCCCAAUUCUACCUUGACGAUUCCUCCUAUUGUUCCAUCUCUUCCUCAGCAUUACACUCGUCGUUCAUGA